UACGGAGGGUGCAAACGUUGCUCGGAAUCAUUGGGCGUAAAGCGCACGUAGGCGGCCUGUUAAGUCGGGUGUGAAAGCCCUGGGCUCAACCCAGGAAGUGCACUCGAAACUGGCGGGCUUGAAUAUGGAAGAGGGUCGCGGAAUUCCGGGUGUGAGCGGUGGAAUGCGUAGAGAUCCGGAAGAACGACCGGUGGCGAAGGCGGUCUGCUGGGCCAAGACUGGACGCUGAGGCGCGACAGCGGUGGGGGAGCAAACGAGG
rnacentral:rRNA from 1 species